UCCUCGGUAGCUCAGUUGGUAGAGCAGUUAAUCAAUUGGUCGCAGGUUCGAGUCCUGCCCGAGGAGCCA
rnacentral:tRNA from 1 species